rnacentral:lncRNA from 1 species
AUGUUUGUAUAUUUUAAGCGAUUUGCACAAGAAGCCACACGCCUCCCGUAUCACCUUGUCUCCGGUGUGAAGUCGUGGAUUGUCCGCUUUUCCAGACUGAAGCAGAAGAGUGAAAACCAGGCGCUGUUUUACAAUCAUCUUAAGACACAGCAGCAGGGCUGCUGGGUAAUUUUCGUCCUGUCGUGGGCAGAAGGAUGACCUCCCAAUUCAUCAUCUUGGCCUGACAGUUAUUGAGUUUGCAAACGCAUCCAUUAUCCCUGGGUUCAGUGUGUGAGCAGCACUGAAUCCAGCAAGCAUAUCAAGCAGCAACUGAUUGUCAGGUAAUAUUGGCGAUGAAACCUGAUGGGGUGGCCACAGCACCAUCUGAACCAAUGGAAGCCGAAGGAACAAGAAUAGGGGAAAAAGGGGAAGGAAUAGUAAUUAAAAUGUAAAAAAAAGAAAAAAAAAAGAAAGAAAAAACCUAAAAUGUAAAAAGGUACAUGAUUUACACACCCUCAACAGAUGUUAGGCAGAAUAACAGUCUCAGUCCCCAUUCUCUUUUAUUGUAUGAAAAAAUGCAACAAAAUGCAUGUGACUGAGGUUAAUAUUCUGCCUAAAAUCGCAUCUUCUUUUCCAUGUAAGCAAAAAAGUCAGAUUGAAACAACAUGAGUGAAUAAACAAUGACAUGAUUUAGAUUUUUUAAUUACAGGUUUUGCUUUGUUUUCUUACUGACAAGGUCUGUAGAGUCUUCAGAUAUGUACACUUGCAUUGCUUUGACCGUUCUCUGUAGCACCUACCUACUCACACAUUAAGACUGGUUGAUUAUGUACCAUGCCUGCACAUUAUUGGUCAAACCACAUAAAAAAAAACAAGAAAACAAAGCCUAUUUUUUAAUUAAGAAAAAUACAAUUAAGAAAUUCCACUUUCAAAUUAACCCACUACUAAUCUGGUCAGCCAGAUUCAUAUAAAAUUCCAAAUGGGAGGAGGGAAAAAAUAACAAUUUAUGACAACUUACAACAAACAGUGUAUCCUAAAAUACACACAGAUCCCUACAGUAUCCACUACCUCCAAAACAGAGACUAAUCAAUCAUCUCUACACACAACCGCAACAAUUACAGGCCUGCUUUUCCAAAAAACAACAGCUCCAUGCUGUAACUAUAAACUUGAGAAUGCAGUUUCACAUUGACCUCCAGGCUACAUGUCGAGUAAAUGCUGCGCUCAUCCCGCAGAGUGGAGUGACACGCGUGGCGAAGCGUCACUGUUUUAAUCUUUUAUUCCCUUUUAGAUCAUUCACACUGCCGAUAAAACGAACGUAGCGGAUUACAAGUCGUUUCACAUAAAGUGCGCCCUGAUACUAACAUAUAUCUCUAGCACAUAAAAAGACAUAUGACAAAACCCGCUCCGCCGCAUUGUGGGAUGCGAGUACACGAGUGCAGCGCUGAGCAUCAUCGGUCUCUCCUCCCCGUCGAGCAGCAUAACGCACAGUCAGAUCACGCACCUAUCAGCGCCUCUCUAAUGACUACAAACGAAUUCAAUGAACACCGCUCGCCCACAGCUAACGGGCCACCUUGAGCCCCAUGUUAUUGGUCAAACGCGCAGUACAGCCAUGUUUAGAUGAGAGAAAGGGAGGUGCGCGAGACUCACUGCAGCAGGACCCCAUUAUCGCCGGCUGAGAGUCAGCCGCACUGAUUGCCUGUUCGUAAUUCAACAACGCGCUCUUAAAACGAGCUGCAUGCAGUUUUGGGGAGGAACUGAAAAACUAGGGAAAUAGUAACUGUUUAAAACGAUGCAUCUUCAAGCACUGUUGUUGUGUUAUUUUACAUUGGUAAGUCCGAUUCGUUAAACAAGCCGUUCAAAAAUUCGCAGAUUCAUUUGACCUUAUUUUAUCUUCAGUUUCGAGGCAAACUAUACAAGUUAAAUUAUAAAUUAUUAGAGUUUGUUUGCUUUAAUUUGUACUUUAUUCGUCCGUUCAGCAAAGGUAAUGCAUUUAAUAUCUGAAGCGAGGAGAACAGUCGCAGCCAUUUAC